AUGCCUUUCCUUCCGGAGGCGGGGGCGGCGGGGCGCGCCGUGGCCCUGGCCCUGGUGCUGCUGCUCCCCGCAAUGCCCACGGGCGCUGGCGCCCUGCUCCGCCUGCAACCCGGCAUGCCCCACGUGUGUGCGGAGCAGGAACUGACCCUGGUGGGCCGCCGCCAGCCCUGUGUGCGGGCCUUCAGCCGCACAGUGCCCGUGUGGAGGCCGGGUUGUGGGCGGCAGGCCUGGUGUGUCAGCCAUGAGCGCAGAACCAUCUACUACACCGGCUACAGGCAGGUGUACUCCACGGAGGCCCAGACGGUGUUCCGGUGCUGCCCGGGGUGGAGCCAGCAGCCAGGGAGCCAGGGCUGCCUCUCCCCUGUGUGCAGCUCCGGCCUCUGCUUUAACGGCGGCCACUGCGUGUCCGGCUCAGCCCAGCCGUGCCGCUGUCCCCCUGGCUUCCAGGGUCCUCGCUGUCAGCAUGAUGUGAACGAGUGUGCCACUGGCAAUGCAGGCUGUGAGGGUGAGUGUCGCAACACCGUGGGGGGCUUCUACUGCCGCUGCCCGCCCGGCCACCAGCUGCAGGGAGAUGGCAAGACCUGCCGAGACGUGGACGAGUGCCAGGUGCACAAUGGUGGCUGCCAGCACCGGUGUGUGAACACCCCAGGCUCCUACUUCUGCGAGUGCAAGCCCGGCUUCCGUCUCCACGCGGACGGCAGGACCUGCCUGGCCAUCAACUCCUGCACCGUGGGCAACGGUGGCUGCCAGCACAACUGCGUCCAGCUCACAGUGACCCAGCACCGCUGCCAAUGCCGGCCCGAGUUCCAGCUCCAGGAGGAUGGCAGGCGCUGCGUCCGGAGAAACCCGUGCGCGGACAGGAACGGCGGCUGCAUGCACAGGUGCCGGGCGCUCCGGGGCCUUGCCCACUGCGAGUGCCACGCGGGCUACCAGCUGGCAGUGGACCGCAAGGCCUGCGAAGAUGUGGAUGAAUGUGCCACAGGCCUGGCCCAGUGUGCGCAUGGCUGCCUCAACACGCACGGCUCCUUCAAGUGUGUGUGCAAUGCGGGCUACGAGCUGGGUGCUGAUGGCCGGCAGUGCUACCACGUCGACGACUGUGCCGCCUCCCCGUGCUGCCAGCAGGUUUGCACCAAUAGCCCCGGUGGUUACGAGUGCAGCUGCUAUGCCGGCUACCGGCUCAGUGCGGAUGGCUGCGGGUGUGAGGACGUGGACGAGUGCGCCUCCGGCCACAGCGGCUGCGAACACCACUGUGCCAACCUGGCCGGCUCCUUCCAGUGCUCCUGUGAGGCCGGCUACCAGCUGGACGAGGACCGCAGGGGUUGCACCUCCCUGGAGCUGCCCGAGCUGGUCCUGGACGGCCACCUGCCCCUCGGGCGGCCCCCUCUGCACAUUGCGGUGCUCCAGGACCAGCUGCCCCCUCUCUUCCAAGACGACUACGCCGGGGCUGAGGAGGAAGAGGCUGAGGCACGGGGCGAACACACGCUGCAGGAAAAGUAUGUCUGCCUGGACAACACCUUUGGCCCAGACUGCAGCUUGACUUGUGAUGACUGCAGGAAUGGGGGAACCUGCCUCCCCAGCCUGGACAGCUGUGACUGCCCUGAUGGCUGGACCGGGCUCGUCUGCAACGAGACUUGUCCUCUGGACACCUUCGGAAAGAACUGCAGCUUCUCCUGCAGCUGUCAGAACGGCGGGACCUGUGACCCUGUGACGGGGGCCUGCCGCUGCCCCCCAGGGGUCAGUGGAGCCCACUGUGAGGACGGCUGCCCCAAAGGCUUCUAUGGCAAGCACUGCCGUAAGAAGUGCCACUGUGCCAGCCGGGGCCGCUGCCACCGCCUCUACGGGGCCUGCCUCUGUGACCCGGGGCUCUACGGCCGCUUCUGCCACCUGGCCUGCCCGCCGUGGGCCUUUGGGCCAGGCUGCUCAGAGGAGUGCAAGUGUGAGCAGCAGAAUACACGUGCGUGCGAUAAGAGGGAUGGCAGCUGUGCCUGCAAGGCGGGCUUUGGGGGCGAGUGGUGCCAGGACGAGUGCCAGCCAGGGUUCUUUGGGCCAGGGUGCCGGCAGACGUGCACCUGCCCCCUGGGCGUGGCCUGCGACCCUGUCAGCGGCGAGUGUGGGAAGCAGUGUCCCGCUGGCUACCACGGGGAGGACUGCAGCCAAGAGUGCCCGGCGGAGACGUUUGGCCAGAACUGCUCAGGCUCCUGCUCCUGUGGGGGCGCCCCCUGUGACCGGGUCACAGGGCAGUGUCUGUGCCCGCCGGGGAGGACCGGGGAUGACUGUGGGGCAGAUUGUCCCGAGGGCCGCUGGGGGCUUGGCUGCCAGGAGAUCUGCCCGCCAUGUGAGCACGGUGCCGCCUGUGUGCCGGAGACUGGAGCCUGCCUGUGCCGCCCCGGCUUCAUGGGCAGCCGCUGCCAGGAUGCCUGCCCUGCUGGCUGGUUUGGACCUGGUUGCCAGACGCGGUGCUCCUGUGCCAACGAUGGGCUCUGCCACCCAGUGACCGGCCGGUGCAGCUGUGCCCCUGGGUGGACCGGCCUCAGCUGCCAGAGAGCCUGUGACAGCGGCCGCUGGGGACCCGACUGCAGCUACGCCUGCAACUGCAGUGCAGGUCAUGGGGGCUGCGACGCCGUCAGCGGCCUGUGUGUGUGUGAAGCCGGCUAUGUGGGCCCGCGGUGUGAGGAGCGGUGUCCCCAGGGCUACUUCGGGCCGGGCUGUGGGCGGCGAUGCCAGUGUGAGCACGGGGCGGCCUGUGACCACGUCAGCGGGGCCUGCACCUGCCCUGCCGGCUGGAGGGGCACCUUCUGUGAGCGAGCCUGCCCAGCCGGCUUCUUUGGAAUGGACUGUGGCCGUGCCUGUGACUGCAGUGCCGGAGUCCCCUGUGAUCCCGUGAGCGGCUCCUGCCUCUGUCCUGCCGGCCGCCAGGGCCCCCGCUGUGCCCAGACCUGCCCAGCCCACACGUUCGGCCACAACUGCAGCCAGGCCUGCUCCUGCUUUAAUGGGGCCUCCUGUGACCCUGUCCAUGGGCAGUGCCGCUGUGGCCCUGGCUGGACAGGGCCCACCUGCCUGCAGGCCUGCCCAGAGGGCCUCUAUGGUGAGGACUGUCAGCUCUCCUGCCUGUGCCGGAACGGGGGCACCUGUGACCCAGUCUCAGGUCACUGCACCUGCCCAGGGGGCUGGGCCGGCCUGGCCUGUGAGAAGGAGUGCCUCCCCGGGGUCUUUGAAGCUGGCUGCCCGCAGAGCUGCGGGUGCCUGAAUAGCGGCCUCUGUGAUCCGCACACCGGCCACUGCCUCUGCCCAGCCGGCUGGACUGGGGACAAGUGCCAGAGCCCCUGUCCCGAGGGCACCUUUGGGGCCCGCUGUGAGGAGCGCUGCGCUUGCCGGUGGGGGGCCGCCUGCCACACCGUCACCGGGGCCUGCCUCUGCCCCCCGGGGUGGAGGGGCUCGCGGUGUGAGAGCGCCUGCCCACCUGGCUGGUUUGGAGAGGCCUGUGCCCAGCGCUGCCAGUGCCCCCCGGGCGCCGCCUGCCACCACGUCACCGGGGAGUGUCACUGUCCCCCGGGCUUCACGGGGCCCAGCUGUGAGCAAGCCUGCCCACUUGGCACCUUUGGGGAGCGCUGUGGGCAGCAGUGCCACUGCCCCGGCGAGAACCAGGCCUGCCACCCCGCCUCGGGGGCCUGUGCGUGCUCCCCCGGCUACCACGGCGCCGGCUGCCAGCAACGGUGCCCGCCAGGGCGGUUCGGGCCUGGCUGCGAGCUGCUGUGUGGGUGUCUCAACGGGGGCUCCUGUGACGCGGUCACCGGGGCCUGCCGCUGCCCCGCCGGAUUCCUUGGGACUGACUGCGGCCUCGCCUGUCCACACGGCCACUUUGGCCCUGGCUGUGCCCACGUGUGCAGGUGUGGGCGGGGGGCAGCCUGUGACCCCGUGACCGGCAGCUGCUCCUGCCCACCUGGGAGGACCGGCGUCUACUGCGAGCAUGGCUGCCCCCAGAAUCAGUUUGGUGUGAACUGUGAGCAUGCGUGCUCCUGCAGGAAUGGGGGCCUGUGUCAUGCCACCAACGGCAGCUGUUCCUGUGGCCUGGGCUGGACAGGGCCACACUGCGAGCUGGCCUGCCCCGCUGGGCGCUAUGGUGCUGCCUGCAGCCUCGAGUGCUCCUGCCACAACCACGGGACCUGUGAGCCCACGUCGGGGGCCUGUCGCUGCAGCCCCGGCUUCUAUGGCCAAGCCUGCGAGCACCCCUGUCCCCCCGGCUUCCAUGGGGCUGGCUGCCAGCAGACGUGCCAGUGUCAGCAUGGCGCCCCCUGCGACCCCGUCAGCGGCCGGUGCCUCUGCCCUGCUGGCCUCCAUGGCCAGUUCUGCGAGUGGGGGUGUGAGCCGGGCUCGUUCGGAGAGGGCUGCGGCCAGCAAUGUGACUGCGAGCUUGGGGUGCCCUGCAACCCCAUCACCGGCCACUGUCUGUGCCCCCCUGGGCGCACAGGGACCACCUGUGACCUGGGCUGCAGGAGGGGCUUCUUCGGGCCGGGCUGUGCUCUGCACUGCUCCUGCGGGGGUGGAGCCGACUGCGACCCUGUCAGCGGGCAGUGCCUCUGCGUGGACGGCUACACAGGGCCCAUGUGCCGGCAGGGUGGACCCUCCCAGCUCCCGGAGAGCCCAUCUCCAGCCCUGGGCCCAGUGGCCCUACAACCAGCCUCCCACCAGACCUGGGCUCAGCAGCAGCCUAGAGAAGCACUAGCUCAGGGGCAGCCCCCGCUGAGGCUUGGCUCCCAGGGGCCACUGAGGGGACCUGGGGGCUUUGGUGUCCACUGAGGAGGGACGUGCGGGGGCCAGGACUCCGGCCCCACCCUGGUCUCCGAGGCCUGUGGACAGUGGCGCAGCCUUCCACUCUGCAAGGAUCUUCUGACCAGGAGGAUGGAGGCCCUGCCUGGCCCGCCCUGAGGAUCAUAGUGUGGAGGAAGCCGCACCUGCCAUGCCCCCGGGGUGAGACUGCAGGCAGGUGUGGGGGCAGGUGUGGGCCUGGGGCCCUUCCUUGGAGCAAGUUCUUCUGGUGCUAGGCCUGGGACUGCUGCAGUUCAGUCUGUUUACCUGGAAACAGAUGCUGGUGCUAGGCUGGGCCAUAUUUAUGGAAGGUAUUUAUGGGCAGCCAGACCCUGGGCACUGAAGGGCUGCCUGCCUGCUGCUCGACCUGGGAGGCCUUGACUCAGGCCUCUGGGUGGGGCUUCGGUACCCUGUGAAACCCAGUAAGUUA
rnacentral:lncRNA from 1 species